GACGAACCGUGCGAACGUUAUUCGGAAUCACUGGGCUUAAAGCGCGUGUAGGCGGAUGGGAACGUCGGUAGUUGAAAGCCCCCGGCUCAACCGGGGAAGUGGUGCCGAAACGACCCGUCUGGAGGGACGUAGGGGGACCUGGAACUUCCGGUGGAGCGGUGAAAUGCGUUGAGAUCGGAAGGAACGCCCGUGGCGAAAGCGACCACCUGGACUGAUACUGACACUGGAG
rnacentral:rRNA from 1 species